rnacentral:rRNA from 1 species
AUUGAACGCUGGCGGCAUGCCUUACACAUGCAAGUCGAACGGUAACAGGUCUUCGGAUGCUGACGAGUGGCGAACGGGUGAGUAAUACAUCGGAACGUGCCUAGUAGUGGGGGAUAACUACUCGAAAGAGUGGCUAAUACCGCAUGAGAUCUACGGAUGAAAGCAGGGGAUCGCAAGACCUUGUGCUACUAGAGCGGCAGAUGGCAGAUUAGGUAGUUGGUGGGAUAAAAGCUUACCAAGCCGACGAUCUGUAGCUGGUCUGAGAGGACGAUCAGCCACACUGGGACUGAGACACGGCCCAGACUCCUACGGGAGGCAGCAGUGGGGAAUUUUGGACAAUGGGCGAAAGCCUGAUCCGGCAAUGCCGCGUGCAGGAUGAAGGCCUUCGGGUUGUAAACUGCUUUUGUACGGAACGAAAAGCCCCGGGUUAAUACCCUGGGGUCAUGACGGUACCGUGAGAAUAAGCACCGGCUAACUACGUGCCAGCCGCCGCGGUAA